rnacentral:rRNA from 1 species
AGAGUUUGAUCCUGGCUCAGGAUGAACGCUGGCGGCGUGCUUAACACAUGCAAGUCGAACGAUUAACCCGCCCUCGGGCGGUUAUAGAGUGGCGAACGGGUGAGUAACACGUGACCAACCUGCCCCCUUCACCGGGAUAACCCAGGGAAACCUGCGCUAAUACCGGAUACUCCGGGACCCUCGCAUGGGGGUCCCGGGAAAGCCCAGGCGGAAGGGGAUGGGGUCGCGGCCCAUUAGGUAGACGGCGGGGUAACGGCCCACCGUGCCCGCGAUGGGUAGCCGGGUUGAGAGACCGAUCGGCCACAUUGGGACUGAGAUACGGCCCAGACUCCUACGGGAGGCAGCAGUGGGGAAUUUUGCGCAAUGGGGGAAACCCUGACGCAGCAACGCCGCGUGCGGGACGACGGCCUUCGGGUUGUAAACCGCUUUCAGCAGGGAAUAAUUUUGAAGGUACCUGCAGAAGAAGCUCCGGCUAACUACGUGCCAGCAGCCGCGGUAAUACGUAGGGAGCGAGCGUUAUCCGGAAUCAUUGGGCGUAAAGCGCGCGUAGGCGGCCCGUCAAGCGGGGUUUCAAAUCCAGGGGCUCAACCUCUGGCCGGACCCCGAACUGGCGGGCUCGAGUGCGGUAGAGGAAGGUGGAAUUCCCAGUGUAGCGGUGAAAUGCGCAGAUAUUGGGAAGAACACCGAUGGCGAAGGCAGCCUUCUGGGCCGCCACUGACGCUGAGGCGCGAAAGCUAGGGGAGCGAACAGGAUUAGAUACCCUGGUAGUCCUAGCCGUAAACGAUGGGCACUAGGUGUGGGGGGACAUUCCCUCCGUGCCGCAGCAAACGCAUUAAGUGCCCCGCCUGGGGAGUACGGCCGCAAGGCUAAAACUCAAAG